rnacentral:rRNA from 1 species
GACGAACGCUGGCGGCGUGCUUAACACAUGCAAGUCGAACGGAAAGGCCCUGCUUUUGUGGGGUGCUCGAGUGGCGAAAGGGUGAGUAACACGUGAGUAACCUGCCCUUGACUUUGGGAUAACUUCAGGAAACUGGGGCUAAUACCGGAUAGGAGCUCCUGCUGCAUGGUGGGGGUUGGAAAGUUUCGGCGGUUGGGGAUGGACUCGCGGUUUAUCAGCUUGUUGGUGGGGUAGUGGCGUACCAAGGCUUUGACGGGUAGCCGGCCUGGGAGGGUGACCGGCCACAUUGGGACUGAGAUGCCGCCCAGAGUCCUACGGGAGCAAUCAGUGGGGAAUAUUGCACACUGGGCGGAAGCCGUAUGCAGCAACUCCGCGUGCUGGAUCACUGCCUUCGGGUUGUAACCCGCUUUCGCCUGUGACGAAGCGUGAGUGACGGUAAUGGGUAAAGAAGCACCGGCUAACUACGUG